GCCGAAGGUGGGGCUGAUGACUGGGGUGAAGUCGUAACAAGGUAGCCGUACCGGGAGGUGCGGCUGGAUCACCUCCUAA
rnacentral:rRNA from 1 species